GCGGUGGAAUGCGCAGAUAUCAGGAGGAACACCGAUGGCGAAGGCAGGUCUCUGGGCCGCAACUGACGCUGAGGAGCGAAAGCAUGGGGAGCGAACAGGAUUAGAUACCCUGGUAGUCCAUGCCGUAAACGUUGGGCACUAGGUGUGGGGCUCAUUCCACGAGUUCCGUGCCGCAGCAAACGCAUUAAGUGCCCCGCCUGGGGAGUACGGCCGCAAGGCUAAAACUCAAAGGAAUUGACGGGGGCCCGCACAAGCGGCGGAGCAUGCGGAUUAAUUCGAUGCAACGCGAAGAACCUUACCAAGGCUUGACAUGCACGAGAAGCCACCAGAGAUGGUGGUCUCUUUGGACACUCGUGCACAGGUGGUGCAUGGUUGUCGUCAGCUCGUGUCGUGAGAUGUUGGGUUAAGUCCCGCAACGAGCGCAACCCUCGUCCCAUGUUGCCAGCGGGUUAUGCCGGGGACUCAUGGGAGACUGCCGGGGUCAACUCGGAGGAAGGUGGGGAUGACGUCAAAUCAUCAUGCCCCUUAUGUCUUGGGCUUCACGCAUGCUACAAUGGCCGGUACAAAGGGCUGCGAUACCGUAAGGUGGAGCGAAUCCCAAAAAGCCGGUCUCAGUUCGGAUUGGGGUCUGCAACUCGACCCCAUGAAGUCGGAGUCGCUAGUAAUCGCAGAUCAGCAACGCUGCGGUGAAUACGUUCCCGGGCCUUGUACACACCGCCCGUCAAGUCACGAAAGUCGGUAACACCCGAAGCCCAUGUCCCAACCGUUCGCGGGGGGAGUGUCGUAGAGAAGAUUCCGGCACUCCCC
rnacentral:rRNA from 1 species